rnacentral:rRNA from 1 species
UACGUAGGGUGCAAGCGUUAAUCGGAAUUACUGGGCGUAAAGCGUGCGCAGGCGGCUAUGCAAGACAGAUGUGAAAUCCCCGGGCUCAACCUGGGAACUGCAUUUGUGACUGCAUGGCUAGGGUACGGUAGAGGGGGAUGGAAUUCCGCGUGUAGCAGUGAAAUGCGUAGAUAUGCGGAGGAACACCGAUGGCGAAGGCAAUCCCCUGGACCUGUACUGACGCUCAUGCACGAAAGCGUGGGGAGCAAACAGG